AGAGUUUGAUCCUGGCUCAGGACGAACGCUGGCGGCGUGCCUAAUACAUGCAAGUCGAGCGAGCUUGCCUAGAUGAUUUUGGUGCUUGCACUAAAUGAAACUAGAUACAAGCGAGCGGCGGACGGGUGAGUAACACGUGGGUAACCUGCCCAAGAGACUGGGAUAACACCUGGAAACAGAUGCUAAUACCGGAUAACAACACUAGACGCAUGUCUAGAGUUUGAAAGAUGGUUCUGCUAUCACUCUUGGAUGGACCUGCGGUGCAUUAGCUAGUUGGUAAGGUAACGGCUUACCAAGGCAAUGAUGCAUAGCCGAGUUGAGAGACUGAUCGGCCACAUUGGGACUGAGACACGGCCCAAACUCCUACGGGAGGCAGCAGUAGGGAAUCUUCCACAAUGGACGAAAGUCUGAUGGAGCAACGCCGCGUGAGUGAAGAAGGGUUUCGGCUCGUAAAGCUCUGUUGGUAGUGAAGAAAGAUAGAGGUAGUAACUGGCCUUUAUUUGACGGUAAUUACUUAGAAAGUCACGGCUAACUACGUGCCAGCAGCCGCGGUAAUACGUAGGUGGCAAGCGUUGUCCGGAUUUAUUGGGCGUAAAGCGAGUGCAGGCGGUUCAAUAAGUCUGAUGUGAAAGCCUUCGGCUCAACCGGAGAAUUGCAUCAGAAACUGUUGAACUUGAGUGCAGAAGAGGAGAGUGGAACUCCAUGUGUAGCGGUGGAAUGCGUAGAUAUAUGGAAGAACACCAGUGGCGAAGGCGGCUCUCUGGUCUGCAACUGACGCUGAGGCUCGAAAGCAUGGGUAGCGAACAGGAUUAGAUACCCUGGUAGUCCAUGCCGUAAACGAUGAGUGCUAAGUGUUGGGAGGUUUCCGCCUCUCAGUGCUGCAGCU
rnacentral:rRNA from 1 species